GACGAACGCUGGCGGCGUGCUUAACACAUGCAAGUCGAACGGACAGGCCCUGCUUUUGUGGCGUGCUCGUGUGGCGAACGGGUGAGUAAAACGUGAGUAACAUGCCCUUGACUUUGGGAUAACUUCAGGAAACUGGGGCUAAUACCGGAUAUGAGCUCCUGCUGCAUGGUGGGGGUUGGAAAGUUUCGGCGGUUGGGGAUCGACUCGCGGCUUAUCCGCUUGUUGGUGGGGUAGUGACUUACCAAGGCUUUGACGGGUAGCCGGCCUGAGAGGUUGACCGGCGACAUUGGGACUGAGAGACGGCCCAGACUCCUACGGUAGGCAGCAGUGGGGAAUAUUGCACAAUGGGCGGAAGCCUGAUGCAGCAAUGCCGCGUGCGUGAUGAUGGCUUUCGGGUUGUAAACCGCUUUCGCCUGUGACGAAGCGUGAGUGACGGUAAUUGGUAAAGAAGCACCGGCUAACUACGUG
rnacentral:rRNA from 1 species